GGAAAUCGGCAGCCGAGCCUGCAGCUUGGGAGGGGCAGCGGGGAGGCGGGGGGAGGUCGGGGAGCGGCCGCCGGCGAGGGGAACGGUGAAGGCUCCGCUCUGCGCUUGAGCGUGUGCGUGCUGCUGCUGUGCAGGCCGCAGUGGAAAGCCGGGUGGUAGAAAGGAUGGACGCGGACUGUCCCGGGGCCCUUUCCGCCUGGCAUUUGACUCUUGCCCCUUCAAGAGUAUCGUGUUCCCCGUGGAAUUCACCUGGGUGCUGAUACCAGAGAAGAGAAAUGUUUUGGAAGCCUUGAGUCUUUUAGCCAUCACCGCUCUGUUUUUCUCUCAAAGCUCCGCUUGGAACUGAGGUGGAGAAAGAACGCUUUCAAAUCUGGAAUUGGAGAUGCCUCUUAUUAACGAAGUAACUCAGGAGAAAGUUUUUACCGGAAUCAUCCAGGAAGCCAAGUCCUUUCUUUGGCAGGAGCAAACUUCCUUAAAUUCCCUUUCCCCUGAGGAGAUGGAUCAGAAGUAAGAGCCUUAAGCAGAGUUUUUCAGUGAAAUGAUAGGAAUGUUCAAGGAAUUUUAAGUGACUUUAAAGUCAGCCCUCUUUUGAUUUUUUUUCUUUUCAUCUCAUUUACUGCAUUUCACUCAUUCAUUCGUCAUUAAACAAGCUUUUACUGAGGA